CCCGAGUGGCGGACGGGUGAGUAACGCGUGGGAACCUGUCGCGUGGUGGGGGAUAACGCUGGGAAACCGGCGCUAAUACCGCAUAUGGUCCCCUUUUAGGGGAGCAAAGCAGCAAUGCGCCGUGCGAGGGGCCCGCGUCCGAUUAGCUUGUUGGUGGGGUAACGGCCUACCAAGGCGACGAUCGGUAGCUGGUCUGAGAGGAUGGUCAGCCACACUGGGACUGAGAUACGGCCCAG
rnacentral:rRNA from 1 species